rnacentral:misc_RNA from 1 species
AAACAUUGGUAAUUCUUGCUACAUGGGGGCGACGCUCCAGCUCCUGGCUGGAGACCAAAUUGUCUCCAAAAGCCAAGAAGAAUUCAUUGAAAAGCAUAAGGAGCAGAGUUUUUUAGCCACUCCCCAAGAUGAUUCCUCGAUAGUUGAGGUACGACCUCAAAUCGAGGAGCUUGAGGGAGUGGUCAACACUCUGCUCUCUAUCAAAGAUCAAAAGACUGAAGUGCAGCCUUCAAAAAUAAUGAAAAUAGUCAAUAGGCAUAACAGGUCCUUUGAAGUGGGCAGAAAGCAGGACGCUCACGAGUGCCUUGACAUUUUGUUAAAUAUUUUUGCCAAGCUACCAAAAUCACAGCAAGUCUUCAUGGGGGCGUGUAGCCCGAGACAAACAUGUUUUGUUUGUGAUGACCAGACACAAUGUGAUAUCGAGGAAUUCAAUGGCCUAACCCUGCCGGUUGCCCCAACAAUUAAUGAGGCAAUGAAACAAUAUUUCGAGGACGAAAUACUCGACGGCCAAAACAAAGUGUACUGCGAAAGAUGCCAGAAUAAAACUAAAACCGGUAGGGUUAGGCCUAUUCUUCUCUUCCCGUCCACACUUUUUUUAAUUAUGAUGAGAUAUGGGCUAGAAAAGAAAAAUUGUCGACCAAUCAAUAUCGAAAGAAAACUCUACAUUCCGGAUCAAUUAAGUGUGGACGGGGAGAAUGCUUCGUACACCCUCCAAGGAAUUGUGAUUCAUCAAGGCAGAAAUUGCCAUAGUGGACAUUAUACAGCUUUAGUCAGAGAUGAUAAUGACGGCGAUGACGACUGGGUUUACUGCGAUGAUGAAGUCGUUUGUAGAGUUCGCGACUCGUAUCUGAAUACAAACAUAAUCAAGGAAAACUGCUACAUCUUGCGAUAUAUAUUGUCGUCUCAUCAAAAAGUAUAAGCUUGAAAUCAGACAAGAAACUCUGUCAUCGGAUACAAAGGAUCCAGACUUUUCAAAGAAUAGUUACCUUGAUAAAAAAACAAGAAAGGAGACCUUAUCGAAUUUUUGCCAAUGAAAUAGUGCUCUUGCCAUUCAAU